ACGCUCGACACCUACGGGAGGAGCAGUGGGGAAUAUUGCACAAUGGGGGAAACCCUGAUGCAGCGACGCCGCGUGGAGGAAGAAGGUCUUCGGAUUGUAAACUCCUGUUGUUGGGGAAAAAGAGGAUGGUACCCAACAAGGAAGUGACGGCUAACUACGUGCCAGCAGCCGACGGUAAUCUGAGGCGGGCGUGGACGAAGGC
rnacentral:rRNA from 1 species